AUUGAACGCUAGCGGCAGGCCUAACACAUGCAAGUCGAACGGUAACAGGAAGAAGCUUGCUUCUUUGCUGACGAGUGGCGGACGGGUGAGUAAUGUCUGGGAAACUGCCUGAUGGAGGGGGAUAACUACUGGAAACGGUAGCUAAUACCGCAUAACGUUGCAAGACCAAAGAGGGGGACCUUCGGGCCUCUUGCCAUCGGAUGUGCCCAGAUGGGAUUAGCUAGUAGGUGGGGUAACGGCUCACCUAGGCGACGAUCCCUAGCUGGUCUGAGAGGAUGACCAGCCACACUGGAACUGAGACACGGUCCAGACUCCUAUGGGAGGCAGCAGUGAGGAAUAUUGCACAAUGGGCGCAAGCCUGAUGCAGCCAUGCCGCGUGUAUGAAGAAGGCCUUCGGGUUGUAAAGUACUUUCAGCGGGGAGGAAGGGAGUAAAGUUAAUACCUUUGCUCAUUGACGUUACCCGCAGAAGAAGCACCGGCUAACUCCGUG
rnacentral:rRNA from 1 species